UACGUAGGGAGCGAGCGUUAUCCGGAUUUACUGGGUGUAAAGGGAGCGUAGACGGCGGUGCAAGCCAGAUGUGAAAGCCCGGGGCUCAACCCCGGGACUGCAUUUGGAACUGUGCUGCUAGAGUGUCGGAGAGGCAGGCGGAAUUCCUAGUGUAGCGGUGAAAUGCGUAGAUAUUAGGAGGAACACCAGUGGCGAAGGCGGCCUGCUGGACGAUGACUGACGUUGAGGCUCGAAAGCGUGGGGAGCAAACAGG
rnacentral:rRNA from 1 species